UCUGGUGGCUCUGCUCUCCCAGCCUGUGAACGGCACCCGCCACCUGAGGGCCUUGCUGGGCCUGGCGCUGCCCGGAACCCCUUCCCCCGGGACCCCGGUCUCGGAGGGUUGGUGAGAGCUGUUCUUGCGACUUGGGGCCGCAUUGCAAACUCCCGCGGCCCCGGCGCCUUAGAGGAAGGAGUUCACAGGCUCGCGGGGGAGUUCUGGAAGCAUCCUUCCUGCAGGGGCUGAUUUUUAUUUAUUUGUAAAUGAGAGACCCAGAAGGAGAGGCAGAGACACAGAGGGAGAAGCAGGCUCCAUGCAGGGAGCCCGACGGGGGACUCGAUCCCGAGAUCACGCCCUGGGUCGAAGAACGAAGGCAGACGCCGUGAGAUGCUUCCCCGCGAAGCCCCCCAGGCAUCCCGCCUCGUGCUGCUUUUAUUCCUUUCCGGGGACAUCGCACUUUUUUUUUUUUUAAAGCUUUUAUUUAUUUAUUCAUGAGAGACACAGAGAGAGAGGGAGGCGAAGAAGCAGGCUCCACACAGGGAGCCCGACGUGGGACUCGAUUCCGGGUCUCCAGGGUCAGCUCCUGGCCGAAGGCUGCGCUAAACUGAGCCACCCGGGCUGCCCGCAUCGCAGACACUUAAUUCCCUCCGGAGAAACAGGUCAACAGGGCUAUGAUCUUGGUGAUGGAAGAGGAACGUUCUGAGGACAACAGGUCCAGGAUGGUGCUGUGACUAUGGGCUGACAUUGAAAUUGAAGCUAACGUGUUUUCCUGAGGACAAGCACCAGGCUGCCUUCCCUACGAGUCACCUAACUCAGUGGGGUCAGUGCUCUGUACUCAUCUGGUACUCAGUUGGAGUGAAUAAUUGAUAAGCAACGUUGUCUACACUUCGAUGGCUCUGAACUCUUUGGGCGGACAGUUCGUGUCCGUUUAGCCAACCCAGUGAGAACUGAGGGAGGCUCAUCCAGACCAGGUGAGUGGGGGCACCGCAGAUGCCUCAUCACAUCCUCAACUUUGGCCUCUCUUGCUUUUUUAUCCCUGUCUCACUUCUGCUGCAGGGGUGUUCACAGUUAGAGAGCUGUAGAGUGGGGAAGAGAAUGCAGCACCUCUGUGGAAAGAGAGUUUGAGAUUCUCCACAAAGCUAGAGCCACUGUCCCCAUAAAGUCUUGCUCUGGGCCGUAGAUGCAGACUGGGCCUAUCCAGCCCCGACAGUGGCUGGGACUUCCCUUUUGGCUCGGCUUGGUCCUCCUCUGUUUUUGCCAUCUGUGUCUGCCAAGAGCUGGACCUGAAAGCCUAACAUUUCCCAGUGGCAGCGUCCCUUGUCCUCAGAGACAACUUCUGCCUGUGAGAGCCCCAUGGGGCGUCCAUGUGGCUGACAGCCGCAAAGAACUAAGUACAGUCGGGGCAGGUGGCCGGUAGCUUGAAUUUCUUAGCAUUUGUUCAAUUCUCUGCCUUUCAGUGUGGUCAGAUGAUGACUGAUGAAGAUUUCUGGGAAGACCCUUUGAAAAGAAUAAAGAGGAGGAAGGAAUGGAGCCUCCCAAAGUGGAAACCCAGGGGGUGAGAUCGAAGCCCUGGGCUUCCCCAGGAGCGGCUGGUACUUUCCCCGCAGGGCGCUUAGAUGUGAGUGGCGAUGGGUGAGGUGAAUGGAGAAGCCUGCUUCUCUAUCCGUGUGGGGCUUGAGAUGAGAAGUAUCCUCCAGCAUGCUUGGGUCCCAACUUGAGAUUGCUCAAACUAGGCGGGGGUCUGAGAUGCGAAGGAACAGUGAGGACGCCCCCUCGCCGGCAUCCUGCAUCCUCCUGACCUUUCCUGCACUCUCACUGUGAAGACUUUGGUAUCAGGCUCAUACUCUUCCUCUUCCUGGCCUGAUUCCGGGGAGCCCCAGCCCCUCAGAUGGACCCAAGUGCCAGCAUUUUCUCCUGCUUCUCCAUACCCCACAGUGACGUUGCUUCUGGGGUUAGCCAAGCUGCUCGUCUGUCCACCUUUAGAGCAACAGUGUUUCUCUGAGUUCCUCCCUUAGCCCUUGGCUCGUCUCUGCACGCUGUCCUUGCAGUUUCGGCCACUUGGCCAGUGUCUGAGCUUAUCACAGCCACUCAGCCUUGUGCUGACUUCCAGAUCUCUAGGGCCAGCCUUGACCUCUCUCCUGAAUUUCAUGUGUUCCUGCCUGCAUGUCUUCCAGGCACCAUAAAUCAACAUAGCACGUCCCAAGUGAAUUUCCUCUCUCCUUCCGCUCUGGUCAUCCUGAGGACCCGAUCUUAGUGAACUUUGCCAUCUUCCGCAGUCACCCAACCCAGGGACUUUCAUGACCUCUCCGGUCCUCAUCACAACCCACACCUACUGCAUUGCCAUAUCCUGCAGUGUUCUCCUUUACAUCUGCCUGAAUCUCUGCUCUCCUGAUUGCUUCCGCCACAGUAGCUUGGCGUAGCCUCUGUCGUCUCUCCUACAAAUAGCUGGUCUCCCUGCCCCGGACCUGCUUCCUCCUAUCCCGAGUAGCCGGAGGGAGCUUUCUAAGGCACACAGUUGACCAUGUGGCUCUCCUCAAGCAGCCUAGGGGUGCCUCAUCUGUAGUGGGGGACAGAGGGGCUUUCCAUGUUUGGACCCCACUCAUCUCUCCACAUUGUAUCCCUAGUUUGCAUUCUAGAAUAAAGUUUGUAGGUAUAAAUCUCUGUGUUUUCACACAUGCAGUCCCUUUGCCUAAAUUCCCUUUCCAACUGACUUUCUCUCGCUAACUCCUACUCAGCUUUUAUAGCUGAGCUCAGCUGCUGCCUUCUACAGGGAACUUUUCUGACUCCUCCAGUGAAGUGAGAUAGGGUCCCUUCUGGGCUUCUGUGGCCUCUGGGCUCCUGUGGCAACCUCAGUCCUGGCAUUUUAUGGUAUUAUUUUGACAUUAUUUAUUUAAAAAUGUUUACAUGUUGCUGACUCUAAGUGCUUUACAAAUGUUGAAUCCUAACAAUAAUCCUUUGAGCUAAGUACUAAUAACUGUCUCCAACUCGAGGUGACAAAACUGAGCACCGGGCGAUCAAGUAACCUGUCCAACAUCAUGCGGCUCAGAAGGGUGGAGCCAAGAUUGGAACAAAGGCUGUGUGCCUGGCACUGGGGUCCAUGUGCCUCUCGCAUUGGUGGCCGACCUCCCUCCUCCCCUCCCCCACCUUUGCCGCUGGAUCGCCAGCUCCUCAGGUACCUUACUUAACAUCUCCAGCACUUGGCCUGAAGGCUCAGCGUGCACACAUUGACCGAUUAAUCCACACCACAGAGCAUAUAAGCAUGAGGAACAGCAAAGGGAGAGGGAGAAGCAGACUGCCUAUUGAGCAGGGAGCCUGACACGGGGCUCUAUCCCAGGAUGUGGGAUCAUGACCUGAGCCGAAGGCAGACGCUUAACUGACUAAGCCACCAGAUGUCUCUGAACUGGGGUCUGCAGGUGUGGAGAGCUGCACACUGCAGGCCAGGGUGUGGUUGUGUGACCGCAGGCCAGGGUGCAGCAAGCUGGUGCGUCUCAGGGCGAGUGUGAUGAGGUCCUGAGCCUGUGGAAUGGGGCUCAGGUAGCCGGUGCUGGGGAUUCCUGUCACUGGGGGUCGGGCCGGGGACCAGGGCCCUGGCCUCUGCCUUCCGCCUGCCCUUCCACGGCCUGGGGCCUUCCCCGUCGGCACCUGCCACAGCCUGCUCGCUGCAUUUGGGUCCUUGGUGUGUGUUCAGAGAACUCGGUCUCCUGGGCCGCCUGGCAGGCUCCGUUAGUAGAGCCUGCAACUCUCGAUCUCGGCGUUGGGAGUUCAAGCCCCAUGUUGGGUGUAGAGGUCACUUAAAUAAAAAUAAAACUUAAAAAAGAAAAAUGCUCGCUCUCCUACCUGGGGAGUCAGAGUGCUCUCCAAACUAAUGAUUUCUGCGCCCAAGGAGAGCCCGCUGCCAAAAAGGCCUGGUCAAAUCCUCAGGUGUACAUGGACAUCAAGAUCGGGAACAAGCUGGCCAGCCGCAUCCAGAUGCUGCUGCGUUUAGACGUUGUUCCCGUGACAGCAGGUGAGCAGGACUCCGGCCCGAGGCUGGUGGCCGAGCCGGCUGGGGAGGAAGCUGCCUGGAAUCUUGAGACUUCAACACCUUUUAUCUGAGCCCUUCUGAGGCAUCUGGGACCCCAGCCUCUUGUCACAUGAGCCUGCGCAGGCAUUCUUGAAGGCUUAGGACCAUUAGAAAGAUAGGCAGUUGCAAGUUAUAAAUUGUAUUGUUUUUUGUAGUUUUGUUUUGAUAUUUUGCAGACACACAGAUGCGUGGAAUAUUCUGUAGGGAUGAUAGUACGAGGAUCUCUUACAUAUGCUUUAUCCACUCACUAUGUUACUUUUUUGCCCUCUAUACACUUUUCCAUUUAAUUUACACACUCGGAUAUAUUUCUUCCUCCCCCCCCCCCCCACCCCGGCUGUGCCAAUUGAGAGGAAGUUGAAGACAUCGUGCCUCUUGACCCCUAAAUAGUUAAGUAUAUAUUUGCUAAGAACAAGACUGCUUCCUUACGUGAUCACAGCACGCCCGCUGAAGUCUGCACGGUAUUUCCUGAUCUUUGGGCCGAGUUCCGGUUUCAGCACUUCCCUAGCAUCGCCCUUUCUGGGGACUGUCGUGGUCCUUCCCUGGCGAGGACUCCUGCACGGGCACGGUCAAGUCUGUAGCCUCCCUCUGUUUGGAACAGAGUCUCGGUGUCUUUCUUGAUCUCGAGGAUUUGAAGAGAACAGGCCUGCUCUGCAGAGGGUUUCUUAGUCUCUGCCUGGUGCUUCCCCAUGUGAACGUUCUGGUAGGAACACCUCGUGUGAGGAAGCACAUGACGACACUUCUAGCAUUUGUGAGGUCAACUUAGGUCACUUGCUUGAGGAGAGGGCUGCCAGCUUUCUCCACUGGAAGGUGACUAUUUUUAGAGCUCUAAAUUAAAAGCUAACAUUUAUUUUCUCCUCACUACCUCCAGCUCAUGCCUUGCCUUUGAGGUGACUACCAUUCACAGGCCUGCUCUCUAGGGCCAACUCCGGCCCCAACACCAACAGCUCCCAGUUCUUCCUGACGUGCGGCAGAUCGAGGUGGGGGGCUGCCCAGCUCCAGGCAGCAAGGACGAGAAGCCGCAGCAGAAGGUGAUCAUCGCCGACUGCGGGGAGUACGUGUGAGUCUGCACGCCCCGUGUCUGCACCGCCCUGCGUCCCGGAGCGGUCACCCCGUCUCGGGGCAUUGGUCCCCUCUGGGCAAGCAGGGCUUUGUGUCCCGGCUCCUGGGAUCCACUUGGAGCGGCUCUUGUGCCGAGGCGGCCCGGGCUUCCUCUGGCUCUCCCCGGGGCGGCCGUGGGCCGGGAGGGCAGAGGCGCCGCUUCUUCCAGGCCUCUGCUGCCGCAGCUGCUCCUAGGCCCACCCAUGUGGCUCCCAGGCGUCGCUUCUGCUAAAAUAAAUGCUAGUUCUUGUCCUGCUGCCUGUCAGCCAGGUCCAGGUGUUUACAAAGGUUGCGGCUGUGCCUGGACCUCCUCCUGCGACAGAGCAGAGCACCGCGCUGCCGUGUGCCUUCCCCCGCCCGGGCCGAGGCCCUGAGCGCACACCCUUGUCAGGUGGCCGCAGAGCCGCGGAGGCCGAGCUGGUGCAGGUGCCUCCAUCCUGCUGUCCCUGCCUCCAUCCUGCCCUCACACCUGGUCCAGAGUCGGGACGGGCACCCAGUUGCCUGUUACUCAGUCGCUGCACCAGUGGUUGGUAGAGUCCUGCCGGGCCCUGCACUUGGUGCUGGGGAGACUGAGGCACAGAUGGUUCCUGGCC